rnacentral:rRNA from 1 species
AUUGAACGCUAGCGGAAUGCCUUACACAUGCAAGUCGAACGGCAGCGCGGGAGCUUGCUCCUGGCGGCGAGUGGCGAACGGGUGAGUAAUGCAUCGGAACGUACCCAGUAGCGGGGGAUAACCGCGCGAAAGCGUGGCUAAUACCGCAUACGCCCUACGGGGGAAAGCGGGGGACCUUCGGGCCUCGCACUAUUGGAGCGGCCGAUGUCAGAUUAGCUAGUUGGUGGGGUAAUGGCCUACCAAGGCAACGAUCUGUAGCUGGUUUGAGAGGACGGCCAGCCACACUGGGACUGAGACACGGCCCAGACUCCUACGGAGGCAGCAGUGGGGAAUUUUGCACAAUGGGCGAAAGCCUGAUGCAGCGACGCCGCGUGAGGGAUGACGGCUUUCGGGUUGUAAACCUCUUUUAUCCAUGACGAAGGCAUGCUUUUUGGUGUGUUGACGGUAGUGGUUGAAUAAGCGCCGGCUAACUACGUGCCAGCAGCCGCGGUAAGACGUAGGGCGCGAGCGUUGUCCGGAUUUAUUGGGCGUAAAGGGCUCGUAGGCGGUUCGUCGCGUCUGCCGUGAAAGACUACAGCUUAACUGUGGUUUUGCGGUGGAUACGGGCGGGCUUGAGGCCAGUAGGGGAGAUCGGAAUUCUACGUGUAGCGGUGAAAUGCGCAGAUAUGUGGAGGAACACCGGUGGCGAAGGCGGAUCUCUGGGCUGGUUCUGACGCUGAGGAGCG